rnacentral:rRNA from 1 species
UCGGCGCAGCGAAAGCGAGCCUGCCCCGGGCGUUCCGUUCGUCGGACUAGACCCGAACCCAAGUGAUCUAGCCAUGAGCAGGUUGCCGGUAAGGUAACACUUACUGGAGGACCGAACCCGCAUCUGUUGCAAUAGAUUGGGAUGACUUGUGGCUAGGGGUGAAAGGCCAAUCAAACUCGGAGAUAGCUGGUUCUCCGCGAAAUCUAUUUAGGUAGAGCGUCGACCGAAUACCUCAGGGG